UGAGCUAAAAAGCUAACUUUUAAGGAUAUUUAUUUACCGCUUGUUAAAACUUUUGGCCAUGUAUUGGUGUGUAUGCUUUAUGUAUGACGUCAAAAACUUCUUUAGUUUCACUACAUAUGCAUAUAUAAUUCUAAAGCUUUCUUAGUAUUCAAAAUUUGUAUUAUCUUUAUGUCUGGGUUGAUAUAAAUCAUUUAAUAUUGUUGCAACUUUUUAAUUCAAACCGUUAUGGCACAAGCUUAGUACUAAUGAUUUUGUUUACUUCAACUUGAUUUGGCAUUGAUUUUCACUAUUAUAUUGAUUUGUAUGCAAUCAUAUGCUAAACAAUGUUAUCAUUCAAUGUCAAUAAAUGCUGACAAAC
rnacentral:sRNA from 1 species